GUGCUCCGCGGCUGUCGCGCCUUCAAGAUGGCGGCGCCCAGGGGUGGCUCGGGUCUGGACACGGACACGGACUCGGACUCGGACAGCAGCGGCGGCGCGGCAGCGCGGUUCCGAGAGGCCGCCUGGGACUGCGUUGCGCAGGCGGCGGUGCCGGUGGAGCCGCGCCGCGGUGGCUUUAAAAAGGAUCGGUUACAGCCCGCUCAGCCUAGCCUAAGGCGUGAGGUGAACGGUCAUGAUGAGGAUGGAAAUGAGCUACAGACGACACCAGAGUUCAGAGCACAUGUUGCAAAGAAACUGGGAGCAAUGCUAGAUGGUUUCAUCACUGUCUUGAAGGACUCGUCAGGACCUUCACAAACUUCUGUGCAACAGUCUGACUCUGCAGAUGAUGGUUUUCGCCUCUUCUCUUCUUCUGUCCCCGGAGACUGUGGGAAAUUGGAGCCUUGCCCUGCAGCAAGGAGGAGACAGCCAUCUAGCUCCAGUGACAUGGACAGUGACCAAGAGUGGCAAAGAUACCAGGAGGCUGCUGUGUCAGCCACAGACAUUCUGAAGCAAAGUGCUUUUCCUGCACCGUCCCAGGAUUCCAGCCAGGAUCAGAGUCAGGGUUAUGUAGAGCACAGCCAGAAAAAAAAGAAGAAAAAGAAAAUUAGGGGAGAGAACAAUAUUCAAGAGAAAAUAAUAGACCCAGCAGAGUGUGACCAGAUCUGCAAAGAUUUGCCACGGUUGGUGUCUGCAAAUGGACAGCAUGAGAGACAGGACAGCAAUCAUACAGAGAACUCAAUGUUGCCAGGAGUUGUGAAGAAGAAAAAGAAGAAGAAAAAAAGAGAAUGAAGAUUUUGCUCUGCAAACAGCAGGUGAUUAUGAUGGAUGAAGGAUGCUAAAAAAAAAAAAAAACAAAACCAAAAACCAAAACUAACAAGAGUUGCUGCAGAUGAGGGAAAAUUAAUGGGCAAAGGUUCCGUUCUAAAAGCUCAGUGGCCUGAGAGUCUAAUUAAGUGACUUCCUAUGUUGUUGGCGUCCCCUGGGGAAGGGAACAUUGUUCUCCUAGCAGAGCGGUUAUCUAUGCUGCUGCUUAUGCAGACCUAGCGUAAAAGGAUUAAAUACUGUGCACGGACUUGCGUCACAGAGGGAUAUAAUCAUGGCUGCAUCCCUCCUGGUCUGUUUCUUCACAUCAUGAAACCAAAUCUUGUGUCCUGGAGAAAGUAUAUGAUGAAUUGAAUUUGGUUUACAUGGCAACAGGCAAGAGAAGCCUUCAUUUCCUUCAGUUGGGUUCUGAAUUGCUGCUUGGGACCAGACCUUGCUUAAACAGAGGUUCAGAGCUGUGAAGUACUCAGGACCAUCUUCUGGCCCUUUCUUCUGGAGCCUGCUAGACAACCCUCACUGAUGUCAGUGCACAGCCUGGAGCCGGGCUAGGCAGAGAGCAGGGAAGAUGGCGUCUGCACCCCGAGUACCAGCUCCCCUCCCUGCAGUGAGUUAAAAAAGCUCAGAUGGAUACAGAAGACUUUCUUUGUGUGGCUAAAAAGAAGUAACAAUUUGGAGACCAUGUAAAAACAUUAAAUGAUCUCACUGAAUGCUACAACUGGAUGCCAUGUGGAGAAUCCUUAGCUGAAUAUGGAAACCUUUCAAAUACUGAGGAGGAGAAUUGCUCGUUUUUACUUAGGUGUAAUUAAUGUGGUGGUUGAGACCCCUCAAAUUCAGUGCUUCAUUGACGAGACAUAAGCAGCUUUACAACACUAAACUUGUCAGCUUAAUAGCAAGCUCUCAAACACUGUUACAUUAACAAAUGAGGUUGGAUGCAGAUUGGAGAAAUAUAUCAAUUAGUAAUCACAAGAAGCCUGUUUUCCAUUUUAUUUUAAUGGCAAGUUUAAUAAAGAUUAUUUAAACACGUUCAA